rnacentral:snRNA from 1 species
GGUUCAAGCCCCAGGCUCUCCACCUGCAGGGAGUAUGCUUCACAAGCAGUGAAGGAUGGCCUUCCCUGAAUAGAGACGGACUGGUCUUCGGUAGAGGGUAUACAAGUAGUUGCGCUCCACUGCUAGAACCUCCAAACAAGCUCUCGAGAAGGCGUAGCCACUUUGUUCCUUAUGAAGUAAAUACUAGAAAACUUCUUUUGGAGGGCUGCUGUUUUGG